rnacentral:rRNA from 1 species
UACGGAGGGAGCUAGCGUUGUUCGGAAUUACUGGGCGUAAAGCGCGCGUAGGUGGUUUGUUAAGUUGGAUGUGAAAGCCCCGGGCUCAACCUGGGAACUGCAUUCAAAACUGACAAGCUAGAGUAUGGUAGAGGGUGGUGGAAUUUCCUGUGUAGCGGUGAAAUGCGUAGAUAUAGGAAGGAACACCAGUGGCGAAGGCGACCACCUGGACUGAUACUGACACUGAGGUGCGAAAGCGUGGGGAGCAAACAGG